rnacentral:rRNA from 1 species
AGCUUUAGGAAAGGAUCUAAAGUUGAACCUGCCCAAUGUGUAAUACUAUGAAUGGCCGCGGUACUUUGACCGUGCUAAGGUAGCGCAAUCAAUUGGCUCUUAAUUGGGGUCAGGUAUGAAUGGAAUCACGUGGUUCAGCUGUCUCUUUUGUAGUUACUUGAAAUUACUAUAUAAGUGAAAAAGCUUAUUAUUAGAAAAAAGACGAGAAGACCCUUAGAGUUUGUCUUAAUGUGAAAUUAGUAUAUUCAUAAUAGUUUAGUUGGGGCAACAUAGGAGCAUUAAGUAAAAAUAUUUAAAUCAAUCUCCUAAAUAUAAUUAACCGAUUAUUUAUAAAAGUGAAUAAACUACCUUAGGGAUAACAGCAUAAUGUAAUAGAUAAGUUUGUGACCUCGAUGUUGGACUAGGAAACUUAAAGGCUAGCCGUCUUUAUAGGGAAGUUCUGUUCGAACUAUUAUUCCU